AGAAUAUCAAUGAGGAGCUGAAUGGAUAUCAGUAUAAUACUUUGUAGGAUCCCUAUGAUGGGUGCCAUCAAGGGCUACAAGUGAGAACUGGAAAGUGCAAAGUGAAAAUGGGUAUCCUUGUAUUUGUAGUCUUUUUUUUUACUACCCUUUUGAUUUGAAUUGUUAAACACUUCUGUCUGUAAGAUACUUGUGUGGGGAUUUUCAAAUUCAAAAAGAGCUUAUUGUUGGAAGGUAGUUGUCUGGUGGUGCAUACAUGUUUACUCCAAAGAUCUUCACACUCGAAAACAUGUUCUAAUGAAAAGUGUGUUGGUAAUCAACUUGGAGGUCAAAGACAACCAUGAGGAGGCAGCCAUAGGAGCUAGGCUUGCUAUGGAGCUAUGUCAACAGAUCGAAGCACAUGAAAUGUGGGAAAAUUCCAUUGAUGGUGUAGUGGUUGCUUUUGAGAAACAACAUCGGCGUAAAUUGUUAUACACCAUCUCCUUCUAUUGAAGAUUGAAAAAUGAGUAAAUAUUAGUGACUCUUAAAAUUUACACACAUUAUGAUAACAUCAUUUUCAACCAUAUAAUGUGA